CCCGGGCCUUGUACACACCGCCCGUCACACCACGAAAGUCGGCAACACCCGAAGUCAGUGGCCCAACCCGCAAGGGAGGGAGCUGCCUAAGGUGGGGUUGGUGAUUGGGGUG
rnacentral:rRNA from 1 species